rnacentral:rRNA from 1 species
UGGGGAAUCUUGCGCAAUGGCCGCAAGGCUGACGCAGCGACGCCGCGUGGGGGAGGAAGGGCUUCGGCUCGUAAACCCCUGUCGCCCGGGGCGAACAUCCCUUUUCGAGGGGACUGACGGUACCGGGUGAGGAAGCACCGGCUAACUCCGUGCCAGCAGCCGCGGUAAUACGGAGGGUGCGAGCGUUGUCCGGAAUCACUGGGCGUAAAGGGCGCGUAGGCGGCACGUCAAGCGUGUGGUGAAAGCCCGGGGCUCAACCCCGGGUCGGCCGUGCGGACUGGCGUGCUCGAGCACUGUAGGGGCGGGCGGAAUUCCGGGUGUAGCGGUGGAAUGCGUAGAGAUCCGGAAGAACACCGGUGGCGAAGGCGGCCCGCUGGGCAGGGAGCCCCCUCACGGGGGCGGCUGACGCUGAGGCGCGACAGCGUGGGGAGCAAACAGG